UGCAGUCGAACGGUCUUUUUCGGAAGAUAGUGGCGGACGGGUGAGUAACGCGUGAGAAUCUGGCUCUAGGUUCGGGACAACCACUGGAAACGGUGGCUAAUACCGGAUGUGCCGAAGAGGUGAAAGGCUAGCUGCCUAGAGAUGAGCUCGCGUCUGAUUAGCUAGAUGGUGGGGUAAGAGCCUACCAUGGCGACGAUCAGUAGCUGGUCUGAGAGGAUGAUCAGCCACACUGGGACUGAGACACGGCCCACACUCCUACGGGAGGCAGCAGUGGGGAAUUUUCCGCAAUGGGCGAAAGCCUGACGGAGCAAUACCGCGUGAGGGAGGAAGGCUCUUGGGUUGUAAACCUCUUUUCUCAGGGAAGAAGAGAUGACGGUACCUGAGGAAGAAGCAUCGGCUAACUCCGUGCCAGCAGCCGCGGUAAUACGGAGGAUGCAAGCGUUAUCCGGAAUGAUUGGGCGUAAAGCGUCCGUAGGUGGUGAUGCAAGUCUAUUGUCAAAGCGUGCGGCUCAACCGCAUAAAGGCAGUGGAAACUGUGUAACUAGAGUGCAUUCGGGGCAGGGGGAAUUCCUGGUGUAGCGGUGAAAUGCGUAGAGAUCAGGAAGAACACCGGUGGCGAAAGCGCCCUGCUAGGCUGCAACUGACACUGAGGGACGAAAGCUAGGGGAGCGAAUGGGAUUAGAUACCCCAGUAGUCCUAGCUGUAAACGAUGGAUACUAGGCGUUGCGUGUAUCGACCCACGCAGUGCCGUAGCUAACGCGUUAAGUAUCCCGCCUGGGGAGUACGCACGCAAGUGUGAAACUCAAAGGAAUUGACGGGGGCCCGCACAAGCGGUGGAGUAUGUGGUUUAAUUCGAUGCAACGCGAAGAACCUUACCAGGGCUUGACAUGUCCGGAACCGAAGUGAAAGCUUCGGGUGCCUUCGGGAGCCGGAACACAGGUGGUGCAUGGCUGUCGUCAGCUCGUGUCGUGAGAUGUUGGGUUAAGUCCCGCAACGAGCGCAACCCUCGUUCUUAGUUGCCAGCACUUCGGGUGGGCACUCUAAGGAGACUGCCGGUGACAAACCGGAGGAAGGUGGGGAUGACGUCAAGUCAGCAUGCCCCUUACGUCCUGGGCUACACACGUACUACAAUGCUCAAGACAGAGGGCAGCAAGCUAGCGAUAGCAAGCAAAUCUCGUAAACUUGGGCUCAGUUCAGAUCGCAGGCUGCAACUCGCCUGCGUGAAGGAGGAAUCGCUAGUAAUCGCAGGUCAGCAUACUGCGGUGAAUUCGUUCCCGGGCCUUGUACACACCGCCCGUCACACCAUGGAAGCUGGUCAUGCCCGAAGUCGUUACCCUAACUCUUUUGAGAGGGGGAUGCCGAA
rnacentral:rRNA from 1 species